GGCUGUACUAGGUUCACUGUCAGGUUCACCACGCCUGGAUAACAAACAAACAUGAAGGGCUCUGUAAUAUCUGUUUUGGUGGUCUUGGUUGUGCUGGACAGAUUGGCUAGUGGACUGGAACACAGAUCGUAUGACUACACGAAGUACCACACCAUGGAUGAGAUCUCAGCUUGGAUGAAUCAGAUGGAAAGGGAAAACCCAGACGUUGUGUCCAGCAUGGUAUAUGGACAAACUUAUGAGAAGAGGAACAUUACAUUACUAAAG